rnacentral:rRNA from 1 species
AGAGUUUGAUCCUGGCUCAGAACGAACGCUGGCGGCAGGCCUAACACAUGCAAGUCGAGCGCACCCCUUCGGGGGCGAGCGGCGGACGGGUUAGUAACGCGUGGGAAUGUACCCUUCUCUACGGAAUAGCCUCGGGAAACUGAGAGUAAUACCGUAUACGCCCUUCGGGGGAAAGAUUUAUCGGAGAAGGAUCAGCCCGCGUAAGAUUAGAUAGUUGGUGGGGUAAUGGCCUACCAAGUCUACGAUCUUUAGCUGGUUUUAGAGGAUGAUCAGCAACACUGGGACUGAGACACGGCCCAGACUCCUACGGGAGGCAGCAGUGGGGAAUCUUGGACAAUGGGCGCAAGCCUGAUCCAGCCAUGCCGCGUGUGUGAUGAAGGCCUUAGGGUCGUAAAGCACUUUCGCUAGAGAUGAUAAUGACAGUAUCUAGUAAAGAAGUCCCGGCUAACUCCGUGCCAGCAGCCGCGGUAAUACGGAGGGGACUAGCGUUGUUCGGAAUUACUGGGCGUAAAGCGUACGUAGGCGGAUCAGAAAGUAUGGGGUGAAAUCCCAGGGCUCAA